GGUCGCAGUGGUGGGUGGUAUAAGGCGCUUUGGUAACAAAACGGAUGUCACUGUGAUAGACUACAUCCAAUUUGCUGAGUAGAGUAUUGGAAGCUAUUUUGUAGAUGACAUCGCCGAAGUCGAGGAUUGGUAGGACAGUCCGUUUUACUAGGGUAAGUUUUGCGGCGUGAGUGAAGGAGGCUUUGUUGCUAAAUAGAAAGCCGAUUCUAGAUUUGAUUUUGGAUUGGAGAUGUUUGAUAUGAGUCUGGAAGGAGAGUUUACGGUCUAGCCAGACACCUAGGUAUUUGUAGUUGUCCACAUAUUCUAGGUCAUACGUCCAGAGUAGUGAUGCUAGUCGGGCAGGCAGGUGCGGGCAGCGAAUGGUUGAAAAGCAUGCAUUUAGUUUUACUAGCGUUUAAGAGCAGUUGGAGGUCACGGAAGGAGUGUUGUAUGGCAUUGAAGCUCGUUUGGAGGUUAGUUAACACAGUGUCCAAAGAAGGGCCAGAUGUAUACAGAAUGGUGUCGUCUGUGUAGAGGUGGAUCAGGGAAUCACCCGCUGUAUAUAUCGUUGAUAUAUACAGAGAAAAGAGUCGGCCCGAGAAUUGAAUCCUGUGGUACCCCCAUAGAGACUGCCAGAGGUCCGGACAACAGGCCCUCCGACAUGACACACUGAACUCUGUCUGCGAAGUAGUUGGUGAACCAGGCGAGGCAGUUAUUUGAGAAACCAAGGCUAUUGAGUCUGCCGAUAAGAAUGCAGUGAUUGACAGAGUCGAAAGCCUUGGCCAGGUCGAUGAAGACGGCUGCACAGUACUGUCUUUUAUCGAUGGCGGUUAUGAUAUUGUUUAGUACCUUGAGCGUGGCUGAGGUGCACCCAUGACCAGCUCGGAAACCGGAUUGCACAGUGGAGAAGGUAGGGUGGGAUUCGAAAUGGUCAGUGAUCUGUUUAUUAACUUGGCUUUCAAAGUCUUUAGAAAGGCAGGGCAGGAUGGAUAUAGGUCUAUAACAGUUUGGGUCCAUUGGAUUUAACAAUAUUCCUAUCUGCCAGGACAUUGCAGGAUAUCUUGGUUGACUCAUUUCCCUGGCUUUGUAAAGACUACAUACAGCCUGAUGGGAGCCAUAUUUCCAAGUUCCCACCCUUGAAGGCAGGUUUUUCAAAGUGGGGGCAGUACUAGUUUACAGGUUCACAGGAGCUAUAUUACCAUGCACUCACUGUCUAUCCGAGAUGGCUAAAUAAAUAGCUACAAUGGCUGCUUCUGAUGAUUCCUCUUUCCAAGAAGAGCUGGAUGACACAUUUUAUUUUUGAUGUUCUGUUACAUAGGAACAUACAGCCGGAAUACACUUUAGAGGAGUUGAGACAGCGAGAAAAAUAAUUGCAAAACCAUCAAGCAGCGGCGGCAGCCUAGACCAGCUGGACCAGGACUCAGGAGGAUAAAUGAAAAACGAGUAAGUUGUUUUGUGGUCGGUAGCUAGCUAGCAAUAUAAGCUCUCUUUUUAAACAAGUCAGUGUGACACUGGCAGUGUUGUUCAGUACAGUAACAUUUGGUGAUUGAUUCGGCCAUAACGGGGCUUGCUAGUACCACUACCAGCCAAGAUAACCAAGUUUGCUAUACCUAAACUGUACUGUAGUCUAACGGUAUAGCUAACUAGGCUCAGUGCCUCUUAGAAGAAAAGCUGUAGAAUUGUUUUGAUGAUGAUGGGGGAGAGUAAAGGAAUGACUUUGGCUUUGACUCAUAUUAGUCUUGGAAUAACUAUACUUGUGCGGUGUAACUAGCUAACUAACAUGUGUCUGUGAGAUGUCUCAUACAGUGCAUUCGUUAGCCUUAUUCAAAAAUUGAUUCAAUAGUUUUUUCCCCCAACCCUCAUCAAUCUUCACACAAUACCUCAUAAUAACAAAGCAAAAAUAGGUAAUUUUUUUUGCAAAUGUAUAAAAAUAAACUGAUAUCACAUUUACAUAAGUAUUCAGAUCCUUUACUCAGUACUUUAUUGAAGCACCUUUGGCAGCGAUUACAGCCUUGAGUCUUCUUUGGUAUGACGGUACAAGCUUGCCACUCCUGUUUUUGGGGAGUUUCACCCAUUCUUCUCUGCAGAUCCUCUCAAUCUCUGUCAGGUUGGAUGGGGAGCGUCGCUGCACAGCUAUUUUCAGGUCUCUCCAGAGAUGUUUGAUCGGGUUCAAGUCCAGGCUCUGGCUGGGCCACUCAAGAACAUUCAGAGACUUGUCCCAAAGCCACUCCUCCGUUGUCUUGGCCUUGUGCUUAAGGUUGUUGUCCUGUUGGAAUGUGAACCUUGGCCCUAGUCUGAGGUCCUGAGUGCUCUGGAGCAGGUUUUCUUCAAGGAUCUCUCUGUACUUCGCUCCAUUCAUCUUUCCCUCGACCCUGACUAGUCUCCCUGUCCCUACCGCUGAGAAGUGGCUUCCGUGAGGGCACUCUACCAUAAAGGCCUGAUUGGUGGAGUGCUGCAGAGAUGGCUGUCCUUCUGGAAGGUUCUCCCAUCUCCACAGAGGAACUCUGGAGCAAUGUCAGAGUGACCAUCGGGUUCUUGGUCACCUCCCUGACCAAGGCCCUUCUCCCUCGAUUGCUCAGAUUGGCCAGGCGGCCAGCUCUAAAAAGAGUCUUGGUGGUUCCAAACUUCUUCCAUUUAAAAAUGAUGGAGGCCACUGGGUUCUUGGGGACCUUCAAUGCUGCAAUUUUUGGUACCCAUCGACCGAUCUGUGCCUCGACACAAUCCCGACUCGGAGUUCUACAGACAAUUCCUUCGACCUCAUGGCUUGGUUUUUGCCCUGACAUGCACUGUCAACUGUGGGAGCUUAUAGACAGGUGUGUGCCUUUCCAAAUCAUGUCCAAUCAAUUGAUUUUACCACAGGUGGACUCCAAUCAAGUUGUAGAAACAUCUCAAGGAUGAUCAAUGGAAACAGGAUGCACCUGAGCUCAAUUUCGAGCAAUGCUUAUAUAAAUAAGGUAUUUAUUUUUAUUUUUAAUACAUUUGCAAUAAAUAAAUCGUCAUUAUGGGGUAUUGUGUAGAUGAAUGAGGAAAAAAUGUAUUGAAUACAUUUUAGAAUGACAUGCUGACCAGACCGCUUGCGAUCCGGACACGCAGGUUAAAAUAUCAAGAUGAACUCAAACAACUAUUAUUUGAGGACAGGUCGAAAAAGCAAACAUUUAUGGCAAUUUAGGGUUGUUAUUUUACCUGGAAUGCACAAGGUCCUCUACUCCGACAAUUAAUCCACAGAUAAAAGGGUAAAUAGAGUUUGCUUCUAGUAAUCUUUCCUCCUUCAGGCUUCUUCUUCUUCUUUGGACUUUAUAUGGCGGUUGGCCACCAACUUUAAGGUGCAUUCCCAUCACCAACUGGACUGGAGUGUGGACCUCAGUUCAUCUUUCAAUCACUCACGUGGGUAUAUGCUCCUAAAAAACAAUGAGACACAAAUAGAACCAAGUUCGCUGGCCAUGGCAGAACACUGACAUUCCUGUCUUGCAGGAAAUCACGCACAGAACGAGCAGUAUGGCUGGUGGCAUUGUCAUGCUGGAGGGUCAUGUCAGGAUGAGCCUGCAGGAAGGUUACCACAUGAGAGAGGAGGAUGUCUGCCCUGUAACGCACAGCAUUGAGAUUGCCUGCAAUAACAACAAGCUCAGUCCGAUGAUGCUGUGACACACCGCCCCAGACCAUGACGGACCCUCCACCUCCAAAUCAAUCCCGCCCUAGAGUACAAGGCCUCGUUGUAACGCUUAUUCCUUCGAAGACAAACGCAAAUCUGACCAUCACCCCUGGUGAGACAAAACCAUGACUCAUCAGUGAAGAGCACUUUUUGCCAGUCCUGUCUGGUCCAGCGAUGGUGGGUUUGUGCCCAUAGGUGACAUUGUUGCCGGUGAUGUCUGGUGAGGACCUGCCUUACAACAGGCCUACAAGCCCUCAGUCCAGCCUCUCUCAGCCUAUUGCGGACAGUCUGAGCACUGAUGGACGGAUUGUGCGUUCCUGGUGUAACUUAGUUGUUGUUGCCAUCGAUCCUGUGCACGUGGUGUUACACGUGGUCUGCCACUGCGAGGACGAUCAGCUGCCCGUCCUGUCUCCCUGUAGCGCUGUCUUAGGCAUCUCACAGUACGGACAUUGAAAUGUAUUGCCCUGACCACAUCUGCAGUCCUCAUGCCUCCUUGCAGCAUGCCUAAGGCACGUUCACGCAGAUGAGCAGGCAUCUUUCUAAAGGCUUCUUCAGUGUCCUAAAUUUUUAUAACUGUGAUCUUAAUUGCCUACUGUCUGUAAGCUGUUAGUGUCUUAACGACCGUUCCACAUCUGCAUGUUCAUUAAUUGUUUAUGGUUCAUUGAACAAGCAUGGAAAACAGUGUUUAAACCCUUUACAAUGAAGAUCUGUUUAGUUAUUUGUAUUUUUACGAAUUAUCUUUGAAAGACAGGGUCCUGAAAAGGGGACGUUUCUUUUUUUGCGGAGUUUACUUAUGUAUUAGAUAGUCAGGGUAAGGUCAAUCAAUGAGGAGUUUGACAGUUUUUUUUAUUUAUUUUUUAAACAUCAAAGUGAAAUUUCACCCUGGCUCUGCCACGGCAUAUAGUCAUUAUAUAGUAACAACAUUACGUUUUUGUCAUCAACAUCAAAAUGAUCAAAACCACAAGCUAGAAUGAGAGCAUUUUCCUUUCACUGGCUGUAUCGGGAAGGUUCGACUUCCUGUGUUUUCGUCUGCUCAUAGUGAACCACAAGUCCAGUAUUCAUAGCAGAUACUGCCCGCUAGGUAGAUGGAGCGUGCCCAUAAACUUGGAUAACUGUUUAGCUACUUCGAACAACCAACACACAGUAAUCUCAGAACUUCUCUAGGCAAGAUUUUCUUGAAAAUGUUUGUUUUUCACUAACGUUUUUCAUCAUGCCUGUGUGGUAUUCUGUGUCUGGCUGUGCUAAUUACAAACAAGUGCAAGUCAUCUUUCACUGUUCUACUGACCAGAGAUUUACCCCGAUGCUGCCAGUGGCUUGCGGCUCUCAAGAAUGAUGCUUACGGUGGUGACCAAAGAUUAUCAGAGGGAUUUUCAGGCUGAACUGAUGGGGAAUCCAUUUCGACUACAGUUGAGAAGUGAUGCAAUACCAUAAUUUUCCCCCUUCAAAACAGAAGAUUGUCGAUUAGAUGUAUCGCAACUUUAGCUAGCAUGCUAGCCUAGUUGGACUAACAUUACAGUCCUGUAUUGAACUUUGAAAGCGAUCAGCUAAAUCGUAUAGCUAGCUCGCCAUCUUUUGGAUACAUACUGUCAAUUUUGCCUAUGCCAUGGUAGUCACAGACUGGUACCUUCAGCAGAGUAAACAUGUUUGUUUGUUAUAUCUUUGACUAACAUUAGCGAACAUAAGCAAGCUAAUGUUAGCAAAUAAGAGUAGCUCAAUCUGAUAGCCAUCUAUUCCACACUUGUCUGGAAAACAAUCCGUUAGCUAAAUCAACAAUUCUAUUUAGUAACUCCCUCUGUGUGUUGGUAGCAAUGAUUGUUACGUUCCCCAGUUUCUGUGUUGUAGUUUGUGUAUUUGUGAGUGUGUUUCAGGACAUGGCUUCCUGAAAUUCUUCCCAAGCAGCUGAUUGGUCAGCCCCAUUGAUGAUUGGAGAGCUGACCCAGCCCCCUCGUCAGGACUUUAGGGAGUCCAAUGUUGCUUCAAAAACACUAAAGGAUUAUGGUCUGUGAAGACCAGUAUAGGCAAGGCACUGGAGCCCACAUAUACCUCAAAGAACUGUAAGGCUAGCAAUAAAGCCAGCGUCUCUUGUUAAAUGGUGGAGUACCUUGACUGACACAAGUUGAACUUACGGGAGAAGAAACUGACGGGCCGAUCCACUCCAUCUUCCUGUAAGAGAACCGCACCCACCCCCACUAUACUAGUUUCUACCUCCAACUUAAAAGGUUUGUCGAAGUUGGGGGCGGCAAGCACUGGGGUACUACAAAGUAGCACUUUAGCGGAUUCAAAAGCAUAGUUACAGUCCUGGGACCACUUAAAAUGGUACCUUGGGACUAAGCUGAGAUGAAAGGGGAGCUACUACCGUCGAGAAAUUCUUACAGAAUGUACCCUACCAUCCCCAGGAAUCUGCGCAACUGGCGGCGAGUCGUGGGAGGAAAAGCAACAAUUGCUUCCACUUUGCCAGAUACUAGGCGCACUUGACCUUGUCCCACUUGUUUCCCCAAGUAAGUCACAGUAGCCUUCCCAAACUCACACUUGGCCAAAUUGAGGGUUAAAGAAGCAUUCUCCAACCGCUGAAACACACUUUUCAAAGUGGAGAGAUGAUCAGACCAAGUAGACGAAUGAAUCACCACAUCGUCAAGGUAAGCAGUACAAUUUGGCAUAUCUGCAAACACAAUGUUAACUAGGCGCUGAAAAGUAGCAGGUGCAUUACACAUUCCAAAGGGCAUUACAGUGUAUUGUACGAAGUUAUCAGGCGUAACGAAAGCUGAGAUGUCCAAAGCUCGAGAGGUCAGAGGCACCUGCCAAUAACCUUUUAGCAAAUAUAACUUACUAUGUAAGCAGCAGAGCCAAUUCUAUCAAUGCAGUCAUCUAAGCGAGGUAGAGGAAAAUAAUCAAACUUUGUAACUGCAUUUACAUGACGAUAGUCCGUACAUAAGCGGGAAGGCGGUGGUUCUGAUUGUACAAGGAUAUAAUGUACAGAUAGCCUAUGUGAAGGGCUCGGCGAAUGUGGUUGCCGACGCUCUAUCACGGGUUUAGUAACUGGGGACGCGUUUAUUUUUUUAUAACUGUUUGCAUAUUUUGUGGUGGGUGUGUUACGUUCCCCAGUUUCUGUGUUGUAGUUUGUAUUUGUGAGUGUGUUUCAGGAAAUGGCUUCCUGAAAUUCUCCCCAAGCAGCUGAUUGGUCAGCCCCAUUGAUGAUUGGAGAGCUGACCCCGCCCCCUCGUCAGGACGCAGCUGUCUUCAAUUUCCAACUCCUUCUGAAGCUAUAUAAACCAGUGUUCUGUUGCUCAGAAAGGAGAUUGCUGAGAGGAGGCUGAUGUUGUUCUCAGAGGGAGAUGAUUAGUAUGUCCUUUGUUUUUGUUGUUGCGCAGAGGUAUAAUUUGUUGCCAGUAUUUUGUGGCCGGUCCUACUAAGGUAUGUCUAUGACAAAAGGACUGUUUUUGAUUGUGAAAUUGUUUUAUAAUAUUCUGUUUCAUUUGUUCCCAGGGGGGGAAGGGGAUGGCACCUAGGGAGUGCUUAGGAAAGAGGCCCGCGGGCAUAAAUAACCCGUAGUAUUCACUGUCUAUGCACACUAGGUAAGACCUGGGCGGACCACCCCCUGUAUUUUGGGUAGCGCACCAGGUGGUGCGAAGUUAGAUAAGUUGUGGUAGGCCGGUAAGAUAGGGGGGCCUUUGACAUUCACUUUCUUUGCUUUGGUUCCGUCCAGCCCCCUUUCCCCAUAUUACUGUGUGAAGGAAUAAAUUCCUAGUAAAUUCUGCCUUUUGUCAUCCUUACUCGCACCUAUGGUCCCAUACCACAUUCGCACCACAGGGAGUUGAGUUGUAGCAGGGUGUUGUGUUCCUUCUUCCUAGGGGCAUGCGUAACAAUGAUGAAUGUGUAUAAAUAGUCUUAUUGUUGGUUCUCAGCAGACUAGCAACCUUGCUGCCACUUUAGUGAUGCUAGCUAACAGCAAGCUAACAAUAUUGAAAUGUCCACAUUAGGUGUGCUAAGCUAGCCAGUUUAAUAGAGAUCAAUACAAUUAGUGGUGUGUGUUUUAGGUGGUACAGAAACGUAUUCCACCAGUAUUUGCUUCCAGCCGCUGCAUAAGGUUGACAAAAAUAUUUACAAGUUGACAACUAAGAGCUCAAUUUAUAGUAAGCAUGGCACAAACAUGAAUUAGGUAAUGUUUGUGUAAUUGUGUUUCAGGUGGUUAGAUGGAACCAGUGUACCUUCUAGACCAUGUAAUAAAUGUAGUGUAAGAAAUUGUAAUAGAGACUGGAAACUAGUAAUAACUACAUUUCAACAUAAGCCAUAUUUUAUACAAAAUACACAUACUCCUCAUUUCUCUUGGACAUAUGCUGGACUUAUUAAGACACCAACUACAGACACACAUAAUUCCCCUCCCCCAUGAUAACCAUAGACACACAACACAAGGUUGGAGCUCAAGACAAAGAACUAUCUCAGGAACCAAUGGAACGUGGACACCAGGCCUGUUCAGGACUACCCAAGACCCAGAUCGACCAAUCGGAAGGCCAGACUCGCAGAUCAACCUACUUUGCUUGUCUAUAUAAAACUGUACAACUGUUGAAACUACCCUCUUUUCCGGACGGUUCCAUAAGAAUCAGAAAGAAAGAGCCUUGCUGCAAGAUUUUACUAAGAUAUCUUUACAUGUGAUUAAACGGCCUUUUUAUAAAAUUA